rnacentral:lncRNA from 1 species
AAAGAAAGAAAUGCAAAUGGGCAUUUCCACGUGACUGUAUUCUGCUCAGUGCAGUGUCUGCCUGUGUUGCAGACUGAGCUCCGUGGCAUUGCAAAGAAUGCACCAAAGGUUCCCGUGUUUCUAGCGGUUGUCAGGGCGGUGGCUCAUGACAUCGUAAGGCCGUGGCGAUGUGACGUCAAGAUGUGGCCGUUGUAUGAAGUAAGUUUGUGGUUGCUGUGAAGCUGGGAGGAAUGUUGACUGCCUUGGGGGUUGAGAGGCCUUGCAGCAAGAUGUGGAGAAAUGUGAGGGUGGUCCCCAUCUGCACGAAGAAGAGCAAGCGCUGCGUUCUGCACCUGGGAUGCGGCAGCCCUGGCUAUAAGCCCUCAGCAAACAGUCGUCC